rnacentral:rRNA from 1 species
GACGAACGCUGGCGGCGUGCUUAACACAUGCAAGUCGAACGGUGAAGCGCCUUCCUUUUUGGUGGGUGUGGAUGAGUGGCGAACGGGUGAGUAACACGUGAGUAACCUGCCCCCUUCUUCUGGAUAACCGCAUGAAAGUGUGGCUAAUACGGGAUAUUCUGGGUCUGUCGCAUGAUGGGUCUGGGAAAGAUAUUGUUUCGGUGGGGGAUGGGCUCGCGGCCUAUCAGCUUGUUGGUGGGGUGAUGGCCUACCAAGGCGGUGACGGGUAGCCGGCCUGAGAGGGUGGACGGUCACACUGGGAGUGAGACACGGGCCAGACUCCUACGGGAGGCAGCAGUGGGGAAUAUUGCACGAUGGGCGCAAGCCUGAUGCAGCGACGCCGCGUGAGGGAUGGAGGCCUUCGGGUUGUGAACCUCUUUCGCCAGUGAAGCAGGCCUGCCUCGUUUGUGGGUGGGUUGACGGUAGCUGGAUAAGAAGCGCCGGCUAACUACGUG